GGAAGGGUGGCUCAGUGGUAGAGCGUUCUCGCCGGUCGCCGGACACGGCUUCGCGUGGUUCGAAUCCCGCCCCUUCCA
rnacentral:tRNA from 1 species